rnacentral:rRNA from 1 species
UGGGGAAUUUUGGACAAUGGGCGAAAGCCUGAUCCAGCAAUGCCGCGUGUGUGAAGAAGGCCUUCGGGUUGUAAAGCACUUUUGUCCGGAAAGAAAUCCUUGGCUCUAAUACAGUCGGGGGAUGACGGUACCGGAAGAAUAAGCACCGGCUAACUACGUGCCAGCAGCCGCGGUAAUACGUAGGGUGCAAGCGUUAAUCGGAAUUACUGGGCGUAAAGCGUGCGCAGGCGGUUUGCUAAGACCGAUGUGAAAUCCCCGGGCUCAACCUGGGAACUGCAUUGGUGACUGGCAGGCUAGAGUAUGGCAGAGGGGGGUAGAAUUCCACGUGUAGCAGUGAAAUGCGUAGAGAUGUGGAGGAAUACCGAUGGCGAAGGCAGCCCCCUGGGCCAAUACUGACGCUCAUGCACGAAAGCGUGGGGAGCAAACAGGAUUAGAUACCCUGGUAGUCCACGCCCUAAACGAUGUCAACUAGUUGUUGGGGAUUCAUUUCCUCAGUAACGUAGCUAACGCGUGAAGUUGACCGCCUGGGGAGUACGGUCGCAAGAUU